GCGGGUUUAGCUCAGUUGGGAGAGCGUCAGACUGAAGUUCCACUUCAUUCUCUUACCUUGACGGGUAAAUCUGAAGGUCGUGUGUUCGAUCCACACAAACCGCA